UUGCCAGCCGCCGCGGUAAGACAGAGGUGGCAAGCGUUGUUCGGAAUUACUGGGCUUAAAGGGCGCGUAGGCGGUAUGGUAAGUCCUGGGUGGAAUCCUGUGGCUCAACCACAGAAUUGCCCUGGAAACUGCCGUACUUGAGUCAGUGAGAGGAGGGCGGAAUUCCUGGUGUAGCAGUGAAAUGCGUAGAUAUCAGGAGGAAGGCCGGUGGCGAAGGCGGCCCUCUGGCGCUUGACUGACGCUGAGGCGCGAAAGCGUGGGGAGCAAACAGGAUUAGAUACCCUGGUAGUCCACGCCCUAAACGGUG
rnacentral:rRNA from 1 species